rnacentral:rRNA from 1 species
UACGGAGGUGGCGAGCGUUGUCCGAAGUUACUGGGCGUAAAGCGCGCGUAGGCGGGUCGCUAAGUCCGCUGUGAAAGCCCGGGGCUUAACCCCGGCGGGCCGGCGGAUACUGGCGACCUUGAGAGGGCUAGGGGGAGGUGGAAUUGCCGGUGUAGCGGUGAAAUGCGUAGAUAUCGGCAGGAACACCCGUGGCGAAGGCGGCCUCCUGGGGCCUUUCUGACGCUGAGGCGCGAAAGCCGGGGGAGCGAACGGG